UAUAUAAAAUAAAAUAAUAAAGAACAUACUUAUCAUCUUUUUUCUUACAAUUACAAGUUUUCAGUGUGCCAUGUUGACCUAAAUAGGAUUUCCAAGCUGCCUUCCUACAUUAUUUUAAGGUUCUGUUGUUUCUGCUGUGAAACCCUUAAAUUUCAUAAUAGAAUAAAAACGAAUGUCAGAAAUGGUUAAAGGAUGUUUUUUUAAGCUUACUCAGUAACUAUCUUUCCAUAGAACCCAUAAUUUGCCAGCAAUGGAUAUAGUCCAUCCAAUGCAUUAAGGAGGGGAAUAUUAAACAGUUUUGGAUAUUUACCAUCAGAUCUAUAUGAAAAAUUUUUUCUUCCCUAGCAUUGUCCUUCAAACUGACUCAUAUAUACUUAUAUAUAUAUGCAUAUAUAUAUACAGGGAAUUGUCAUUUGUGACUGCACCUUCAUCUUUCAGAUAUUUUAAAUGUUAUAAGCUUUGGUAUUGUAAAACAUAUGAAUACUUAAUAUUGUGCUAUUUAACUAAUUGUAAUCAUAAGAUGUUCUGCUUUAACCUCAAUAAUCAAAGAUAUUAAAAGUCAGAACUGAGAAUGAAGCGUGAAAGAAAAUAUGAAAAGAAUAUUUGUGCAAGUAAAAAAGUCUGCUUGUAUUUUUCUGUUCAUUUUGAAUUACUUUAUUUCAUGUAGGUUUUAAAUCAGCCACUAGGCAGAACUGCAAAACUAGGCAACAAAGAUACACUGAAAUAUAUAUGUUGAUAUACUUAAGUAAAUAAUGAUAAUGGUAGCUAUUUCAUGCAAAAUAAUUUUUAAGAUAUGUAACACUCUCAGUUUUCACAAACCAGUAUCUGCACUGUCUGAAUAAUGUUUUUGUUCAUAUAAGAAGAGGCUAGGAACACAACUUUGAGACCAAAGAUUUGCAGUACUCUCAAUUCCCCAUGUUUCUCCUGAGAUAGUGGUGUGUGAAAGAUCUCCCACUCCAGGCAUGUUGCAAUUUGUUUGCUCUGGGAUUGGCCUGGUAACUCCAGGUGGUUUCUGUGAGAAUAAAAAGCAACCUGAUUUAGACUCCUACCUUAUAAAUGAACCUAAGCCUUUCAGUUGAAGUGAAGGAGCACGUCUGAUGAUUUUUUAGCUGUAAACCUUUCCCUAGCAUUUCCUACAGAAACAUCUACACAUGAUAACCUAACUUUACCAUCAGUACGUGUCUCUAGCAUUCCUUGCAGAGUACUCAUGACCUGAAUGGGCAAGAUGCUGCUGUAGCAUGUGGUGUACCAGGCCUCAGUGUCGCACUCUGAUGGACAAGUGAAUGAACUGCAGCCAGUUCCACAGCCUAGACAAAAGUUCUGUCAAGCAGCGAUCCUGGUGUAUGAAAAUAAGUGAAGAUGGUGCUGUAACAUCAGUCUGUCCACAAGGGACAUUAAUUAUUGCUGUAACAUCGGUCUGUCCACAAGGGACCACGUGAUUCCUGAAGUCAUAUUUAUUUGCAAACUAGAAACAAAGAAAGGCCAGACAGCUGGACUGGCAGUAAUUUAUGAAGGUUGAAAAUAAAGUAAAAGUUUCAAAUAAGGAUCUGGAGAAAAAAAAAAAAAGCGUAAUAAAAUCAAAAACCUCUUGGAAAGAAGGCAAAAAAGGGAAGAUAGCAGGUGGAUAUUUGGCCCAUAAAAACAAAUCAGCUGUAGUCAGUUUUUCCUUACCGGAGUGAUAUUGUCUCUCUGGUACAGAUUUAUUGAUAAACUAAUCUGAGGGUAGUGAGUAAAUGGCAGGUUUGCCUGAUGGGAAGUUAGUAGCUUAUCACUGUCUGUACUGAGUAACUUUUUCAUACUCAGAGGUUGUGUAUAUGAUCAUGUUUUCAAGUCUCUGAUCCUAAUAAAAGAUCCUCUCAUAAAAUGCUUAUUUUUCUGAGGGUUGCAAAGUGGCUUUUAAUAUUUUUGAGAAGUCCAUUAGCAAUAAUUUGCUGUGCUUAAAUUUAUGAGGCUCAGAGUUGUUAUUCUUCAGUAUUUUCUAGGUGUUAUUUUCACUGUAACUUUCUUGGACAUAUAUUUGUUUUCUUUCUUUUGUUAAAUUGUUUUACUUUCUUUCAUUUGGCAUCUUGGAAAGUUUUGAAGGAUGCUAAUGUAGCUAGUAUAGCAACAAGACACAAGGCAUUUGUUCUCUCCUUCUUCAGAAAGAAAAAAAAAACAACAACAAGAUAUUCAGAUAAAAAAAGAUAAAAAAAGAUCAGAACUUGAGAAUGGAAUAUAUAAAAAAGUAAAAUGCAAUUAGACUUUUCAGUCUAGAAAGGAAGUGACAGUAGUGGGAUAUGGUAGGGGUAAGUAAAAUGAUUAAUGGCACAGGAUAGGUCAACAAGCAAUAGCUAUUCUCUAUUUCUCAUACAGAAGCAGCAGGAAGCAUCAAAUGAAAUGAGCAGGCAGAUGGUUUAAAGCAAAAAGUACUCAAAAUGUGUAAUUAAAUUGGGGAGUUCAUUGCCACAGGAUGUUGUGGAUUCAAAAUAAUAUUAAUGCCUUCAGGAAACCAUUAGAUGAAUUAAUAUGGAAAAUAUCCAUUAAAAGUUGUAAAACAGUAAUUUGCAUCCCACUCUGGCUACCGAAUUACCUCAUCACAAAUUCUUGAAAGGGGAGAAGAUAUAUGUGGAAAAAAUACAAUAUGUACAAUAUUAUAUUUCCAAUAUAACAACACUCAGUUUUUAGAAUUUUCUUCACACCUUGAAAUACAUCUUAAAUAAUCAUAAAAGUAGAUGUUUUCUUGCUGAAUUUCACUUGGUGAAGAACUUUGGAAGUAAAUGUGGUUGUUUUUUUUUUCAGUUGGUUUAUGGGAUUAUUGAAUUCUAUUAAUGUUCAUUAUCAUGUCUAGUAAUGUUUGUUGAAUGUCUAUUAAUUCGAACAAUGAAAAAUUUUCUUGGUAUUAAUUUCUUGGUACUAAAAAUUUUCUUGGUAUUGCACUAAAAUAAUAUUGAAUAAGUCAAAAGACGAGUUUCUGUCUUCUCUUUGUGGCUACUACGUGUUGUCAUCAGUGACGCUAGCUUGCGUAUUUUCAUUUGCAGAAAUUUUUCUUAUGAUUUUCUUUUCCUAGCUAAUCAAACUAAAUAAUAACAUCUGCAAUACUGAAGAUUAUGUAAUUUGCUUGAAAUUCUGAAUACCAGGUUAAGCAGAAACACAGCCAAAGGUAUUUACUUAAAAUUGUGCUGGUUUUUAUCAUUUCAAAGUUUAAGUGAAAGAAAGUCAUAGAUAAAGGCAAAUAUUUCAGUCUGCUGCAGGGUGUCAUCUGUAAAAAAUUUCUUUCUCUGAAAUGGGAAAUACUGAGCAAUGGUUAGCCAUGGUUAGUUUGUCAAAAAUUCAGACCUACAAGUGGCUAUCACUGGUUUCAGUUUAUGUUUAAAAUUUCAAAACUUCCAAAACUUCCAAGCUGUAUAGUCUGUAAGAUGCGAUGUACAAAGUGUAGUGUUUCCAUUCUGUUAAGAAGAUGAUGGUAUACUGAAGGAAAGGAUUAAGGGCUGGGGUAUUAUCAAUUAUUUCCUUUCUCUCCACUCUUCAGUUCUGAAUGAAAAGAGCUAAAAUUCCCCUAAAUUUAUUUAUGAAUUACCUUCCAUGCUUUCUUUCCAGUCUCCACAGAUGAUGCAAGUUGCUGUUUUUCUCUUCAGAUGACCUGACCCAGGAAAGUUUCCUUGACUGGUCUCACAGCUGACCUGAUGCUCUUCCUAUUCAGAGUAGUCUUUCCUGCCAAGAAGGAUAGAAAUGGGAGAAAAUGCCAUUGAAGUGUACUUGUGUAUGUCCUGGCAAGAACUGUUAAAUUGGGACCUUAAAAUAUUAAAUUAUCAAUGUUAUUUUUAUGAUUUUAGGGCUACUGAAGAGCUUCUGGUAGCAGAGAACUGGCGUCACAACUGUCCUUAUAUCCUGGCAGUAUCAAGUUUGUUACAUGACUAGCACAUUCGUUCAGUCAUGUAAGACAAUAAGGAACUUAAUUCAUUUUAUAUGGGCUAGACUUCUUUCCCAUCUGAAUCUUGCUGAUACUCAAGGAACAACACCAGGCAGCAGUACAUGCUGGGGGCCUGUCAGCCUAGGAACAGAGCAGAAAAGGACCUGGAGGUCUUGGUGGACACCAAGUUGAACAUGUGAGUCAACAAUGCAUUCUUGCUGCUAAGUAGGCUAAUGGUAUUCUUUGCUGCAUUAGGCAAAAUAUCACCAGCAAAUCAAAGGAGAUGAUCUUUACCAUCUACUCAGUGUUGAUGAGGCUGCACCUACAGUCCUGGUCCAGUACUGGGCUCCUCAAAGCAAGAGGGACAUUGGCUUUCUGGAACAAGUCCAGUGUAGACCCAUCAAGAUGCUUCAAGGCCUGGGGAACCUCUCCUUUGAGGAGUGGCUGAGAGAGCUGAGAGUUGGAAGUGCUCCAUCUGGAGAAGAGGAGGUUCAAGGGGAUCUCAUCCAUGUCCAUAAAUACUUGAAGAGAGAGUGUAAAGAAGAUGGAGUCAGGCCCUUGUCAGUGAUGCCCAGUGUCUGGACAAAUGUGGUGGACACAAACACACAAACCCUAGAGGUUCCCUCUGCACAUCAGCAAGCACUUCUGUGCUGUGUGGAUGAUAGCCAGGGCACAGGUUGCUCAGAAAGGUGGUGGAGUCUUCUCCUUAGAGACCUGGUACCUGAAUGUAGUGUUAGAUCACAUGACCCCCAGAGGUCCCUUCUGACCUCAACCAUUCUGUGAUUAUCUUUCUGUGUUAUGUGGCUCAUGACUUAAUUUCCUGAUGUGUUAUGGGGUAGUGGGAGAUGUAUUAAAAAAGUAGCAAAACCAUGGCUAGGCACUAUAAAUUUUCAGACUGCUUCUGGAAUUUCUUGAUGUCCUGGACAAACUAGCAUCUAAAAAAUAAUUCCCAAGAUCAGUGAAAAAAAUUUCACAAGCUAGAGUGGACACUUGCAGAGCCUGCACUUGGCCAGUGCUAAGUAACACAUACACAGGCUGUUUCAUGUCCAGGAAAUCUUAACUGACUGAGAAAGAUAUAGCCAUAAUACUUCUUUCCUUUCUCUAUCUGGUUAUAAACACUAAAAUUUUAGACACUCAAUACCUCUGAGACUAUCUUCAUGUCAAAUGCAGUUGAAAUCCACAGUGUUUUUAAGAAAAUGCAAUUGGUUGAAGAGAUCCUUUUUUUUUUUGUUGUUUUUUUUGCAAGCACAGUAUAAACUGCAUUGUUGUAUUAGAAAUUAAACAUCGUAAAAUAUAACCCUGCCAAUUUCAGCUGACACACAGAAGUUAUUUGGUGUUUCUAUUUAUUUUCUAAGAAAACAAAACUGAUUUAGAAUAACAUAGUGUCAGGAAAAACAAACUGGUCUUACAGGGUUUGUAUAGAUGUUUACUGGAGCACAUUUUUAAGCAAUUAAGAUAUAAUAAAUGAAAAAAAAAAAGAGAGGAAAAAAAAAAACAACCUUGAAAGUAUUUCUAAGAGCCUUUUUCCUGUGCCAAAUUUAUUUUACACAUUGCACUCUUCAAGUUUUUACUAGAGAUACACUCAACUGAACAAAAUCUGUCUUAAAAAUGUCUCUGUAAAGGGAUUCAUCCAGAAAGAAUCAGAAUUCCAACUUUAUAUAAUUGGUUUAAUAAGAUUUUGAACUUUAGGCUGCCACUGGCUUUUUCUCCAGCUUACAAUGUUAACAACUUUAUUAUGAUGGAUGAUGAACACACAUCUCUCUGAUAGUAUGUAUUAUUUGCUUAUGGCAAUCUUCAGGAAUAGCUCAUACUAACAUACAUACUUACUAGUCAAAAAUGAUGUUAUCAGAGGUCCCACUCAAUACGAAAAAUAAAUAAGUAAACAAAUGAACAACAAAUAUUCUAAAUAUAAGCCAAACAUUUUGUCUAUCAGGCUAGUUAUUAACUAGUGUGAUAACUUCACACAAACAAAAGAGGUGAGUUACAGACAUUAAUCAUAUCUUAUGAUUAAUAUACAAAUAUGACUGUACUAAGAUUAUCUCUGAUAACAGAAAUAAGUAAUAUUCAUUACUAACAUUUUGAGUUCACAAUUCAGUAUAAUCUUCCAUCCUUGUUAAACAAUAGAUUGUCAAAAUAAUGUAUCUUGUAAACUAGUGUUGUUGGUAUUGGUUCAUUGUUCAUGUAGACAUCAGUUACAGUAUACCAAAUUCUAGCCAUAGCCCAAUAUACUAAACAUAGCCAACUGCGUUUCUUUUCCUGAAUUGUUCAGUUUCUCUGCACAGUGCUUCCAACAGAUUGCUAUAAUUUAAUAUUCAUAAUUUUCAUUGAGUUUUAAUGUUAAAAUCUUAAACAGCAGUAUUAAAGAAGCUCAUAAAAAUGACUCAUCUCCAGCAGCUUUCUUCCACGUUGCCCUCCUCCCCAUAAAAAGAAUACACAUAAAGUUCUCACUCAGAGCCUAAGAACCACUUCUUACAAAUUGCUGGGAAAGAUAAAAAUCAAUAUAUUAGAGGUUUAGGGGAUUAUUUAUGCCUAGGAUUGCAGCAUCUGAUGCACGGACUCAGAUGUGAAGAAUCCAAACCCUUUAUUACAAGUUCUCACAUCACUUAUAUACCCUCACAGGUUUUCUUUUUCUAGCUUUCCCAUCUGCCCCUACAACUUUCCCAUUCACCUUUACAUGUCAACAAAGCAUUCUACAAACACUCUUCAACCGUUCAUGCGGGUGCUUAUCCAAUCAGAGCUGUGAGCCAUUCUUUCUUAUUUUAGAGGUGUCCUUGGUUCUCAUGCUGUUUAUCUUGCUACACAGCUGAUGCUCUGAACAGUUUUUCUUGUAUUCCCACAUAGGAUGAUUACCAUUAGAAAAAACAGUAGAAUAUUUUUUUUUCCCCAAUUGAAUGUGACAUGUAUUCAGUACAGUUACGUAUUUAAAUUUCUAUUGAAACAUAGAAGUAAAGAAAGGUCUGUCACCAAUAAGAAUACAUCUGAUUUACAUUGGAAUUAUUUUUCCAUGUCACUGUUCUAGGUCACCUCUCUGCUUUUUGUUUCUUUUUCUACAGAAAGCAGAGGCUAUAAAUACUUCUUAUACUUCUUAUUCAGAGAUGCCAUUUUACAAUUGUCAUAGGUGUAAAUUAUUAAUAGGAUAUGAAGGUGAGGAGAACUCAGCUUGCUAAAUAGUCUUGUGUUAAAAAGUUUUUGUUGUAUUUUGUGUUCCCCUCCCUUACCCAUCAGUAAAAAACAUAUUGAGAGGGUGGAAAAAAAAAAAAAGAAAAACAGAAAUUAAAGAGGAAGUUCAUGGAAGAAAGACCAUAUGCAUCUUGAAGUACCUUUGUCUAAGUCUGAAGACAUUUCUUGCUUGAAAAACAUGAAUUUAAUUAAGAAUCAUACUUAGAACAAGUUAAAAUUCAGUUAUAUAAAUGUAAAGCAAGUAAAUGGAUAACUGUGGUAGGACUACCUACUACAUUCAAAGCUCCUUAGAGGCCUUCAGUUUCAAGAAUUAUAUAAUCUCCUUCAAGAUAGAAAGAAAAUGCAACAGCU